GAUUAACAGGCAUCCAGAUGCUAGAUUAAUGAGUGGAUCUGAAAAGUUUGCAUCAGCAUAAGUUGCUGAUAACAGUUGCUUUUGGUUGCUAACACUCUGCAGUAGAAGAGAGAAAGGCUGUGCUCCCUGGAAGUGCAGUUUGCAGAACAAUCCCUUGGUAGUUUCUAGAUACAGAAUCACAUUUCUAGGAGAUGUUUAAAUUGUUCCUGGGUUUUUGUUUGUUUUUUUUAAGCACCAAACCAUCUAAAGGCUGAGAGAGCUUUCAUCUUGCUGCUCAUUUUGAUCCCAAAAGAGCAAUGAGCUGUUAUGUGGAUGUGAUUGUUUCAUUUAUGACCAGCUUUGUUCAAAAUAAUAGUCUCAUUAAAGCAAGACAAUGAGCCAAAAAUGAUGUAUUAAUUUUAAUAUGGAAAAGGCUGGGGGGAAAACUCCUAAAACUUGCAGGGCAAAAAUACUGUGCAUUUAGAGAGCCCUCUAGGUAGAUUUAGCUCUGAAAAGAUGUGCUGAGAACAAUUAGAAGAGGUUAUGGUGAUGAAAACUAGGAUUUCAGCAAUGUGAAUCUUGUCUCUGGUCCCUUAACCAGGUGUAAAAUCAACUCAUAAUUAGACCUGGUUAUUAGGGCCGUGUAAAGCUUCGGGCGGUGAUUUGAUUUGGAGGAGAUUUGACCUAAUUCAGUGGCUGAAUCUCCGAAUCCAAAUUGAUUCAGGGGACCAAUUUAAAGGUUCAAAUUGAUUCAAAACUCUCCAAAUCUUCGGAAAAGAUCUGGAGAGCUUUGAUGAUUUGGGCAGUCCCCUCCGGUUGCAGCUGACUCCGAGAUGGUGGGAAUUGACCAUGGAAUGAUAUGCUGAUGGCCAUUGUUAGAUGGUCCCUUUGAAGAUAAUUGUCUCCCAGAGGAUGCAUAUCUUACUGUCUUGGCUGUCUUACUGCUUGCCAGGCUCAGUUUUCGUAGGUUGAGUUUGUCUCCAAAUAUUGCCAGGAAACUGCAAUGCAUCAGAAAAGAAUCCUGCCGACAUUUACCUGGGUUCCUCAGUGCUGAUGGACUUGGCAGCUGUGCUAAACCUAGCAAAUACAUUUAAUGUAUAGCGAAGACUGGAGAAAGAGAAUAUCAUUUUAUAUGGUCAUUUUUCUGAGUAGGAGCUCGCUUGAUAUUUAGAUGUUGUUCUUUAUCAUAGUAACACCAUAGAUCUCAUGCUCCAUGCUUUAACACAGGGAGAGGUAGCCCCUGCUCAAAACAGUUUACAAUAUCCAUAGACAGAGUAGAAUGGGAAAUGGAGGCAUGAUGAAUUGCCCAAUAGUACUCUGCAGGCCAGUAGCUGAGCUGGGAAUAAAACUUAGGUUUCCUGAUUCUUGAUCCAGCGAUCUGCUAACUAGGACAUGCAGUUGCUUCUCACACUGCUCUUCGUUAAGCUGUCAUCAGCCUUAGCAGAGAUGGGAAGCCCACUAGCAAUGCAUUACAUCAGCACAGCUUUAACAUCAUAGGCCACAGAGGCAUAGCGAGGCGUCCACCUUGUCCCUGUCUCUCUUGGCAGAUUUCCACAAUGAAGGCUCCAAGGAUGUUGAUUAAAUUAUUAUGAGAUUUUAUUCGGAGAUGCUUGAUAUAUUAUUCAAAGUCAGAUGUGCCUGGGGUUUAUAUAUCAGAAUAUCUGAUUCGCUUUUUCAAAGGAUAUGGCACUAUAUCAGGCUGCUAGAGCCAGGAGCCAAAGAACAACCCUGUCCAAUUGUAUAAUCACUUUGAAAGCUUAAAUAUUAAAUGAACACAUUUUUGGAUGGC